CCCUUUGUGACAUACCUACAACUGUUGCUUCGGCGGGUAGGCCGUCCCCUGAAAAGGACGCCUCCCGGCCCGGACCGGACCCCCCGCGGGACCGGACCCGGCGCCCGCCGGAGGAUAACCAAACUCUAUUGUAACGACGUUUCUUCUGAGUGGCAUAAGCAAAAUAAUCAAAACUUUUAACAACGGAUCUCUUGGUUCUGGCAUCGAUGAAGAACGCAGCGAAAUGCGAUAAGUAAUGUGAAUUGCAGAAUUCAGUGAAUCAUCGAAUCUUUGAACGCACAUUGCGCCCGCCAGCAUUCUGGCGGGCAUGCCUGUUCGAGCGUCAUUUCAACCCUCAAGCUCUGCUUGGUGUUGGGGCUCUACGGUCGACGUAGGCCCUCAAAGGUAGUGGCGGACCCUCCCGGAGCCUCCUUUGCGUAGUAACAUUUCGUCUCGCACUGGGAUCCGGAGGGACUCUUGCCGUAAAACCCCCCAAUUUUCCAAAGGUUGACCUCGGAUCAGGUAGGAAUACCCGCUGAACUUAAGCAUAUCAAUAAGC
rnacentral:rRNA from 1 species